rnacentral:rRNA from 1 species
ACGGAAGGCAGCAGUGGGGAAUAUUGCACAAUGGGGGAAACCCUGAUGCAGCGACGCCGCGUGAGUGAAGAAGUAUCUCGGUAUGUAAAGCUCUAUCAGCAGGGAAGAAAAUGACGGUACCUGACUAAGAAGCCCCGGCUAACUACGUGCCAGCAGCCGCGGUAAUACGUAGGGGGCAAGCGUUAUCCGGAUUUACUGGGUGUAAAGGGAGCGUAGACGGCGAUGCAAGUCUGAAGUGAAAGGCGGGGGCCCAACCCUUGGACUGCUUUGGAAACUGUAUUGCUAGAGUGCAGGAGAGGUAAGUGGAAUUCCUAGUGUAGCGGUGAAAUGCGUAGAUAUUAGGAGGAACACCAGUGGCGAAGGCGGCUUACUGGACUGUAACUGACGUUGAGGCUCGAAAGCGUGGGGAGCAAACAGGAUUAGAUACCCUGGUA